rnacentral:lncRNA from 1 species
CUUAAAGAUGUUUCUACAAUAGAUUUCGGAUUUGAUCUAAUCAAAUCUGACUCUAUGGGUUUACUAGAUUGUGUCAGUUCUUCUAUCGAUUGAACUUCAUCAAGUUCAAUGUUUGAGGUAUUAGUUUCUUCUCCAAAGAACUUCUUUUCUAAAAAAACUGUCUUAUUGCUAACGAACACCUUUUAUUCAUCAGCAAGGUAGAAGUAAUAUCCUUUG